UACGUAGGGGGCAAGCGUUGUCCGGAAUUAUUGGGCGUAAAGCGCACGUAGGCGGUUCGUUAAGUCAGAUGUGAAAGCCCCCGGCUCAACCGGGGAAGUGCAUCUGAAACUGGCGAGCUAGAGUACGAAAGAGGGUCGCGGAAUUCCCGGUGUAGAGGUGAAAUUCGUAGAUAUCGGGAGGAACACCGGUGGCGAAGGCGGCGACCUGGGUCGAUACUGACGCUGAGGUGCGAAAGCGUGGGGAGCAAACAGG
rnacentral:rRNA from 1 species